GGUCUGAGGGGACAGUCCACUAUAGCAGGGAAGUCAUGGUGACGGGACAAUCAGCCCUCAGAACCCACAUUGAAAGAAGGAGCAGAAGAAAGAAGAAGAGAAGAAGGAAGAGGAGGAGGAGGACAAAGAGGAGGAGGAGGAAGAGGAGACACUGACCAGAUGUUGUGGCAUACAACCUUGAGUCGCUCGCAAAGAAACUGAAACCCAGAACUGAGAGAUAGCUGGGAUGAAUUCCACAUUCUCAUUGGGGCUGCCUGCUUCCCAAGAAGAGCAUUUCCAGAUCGUUCCUGUUCAGGCAAGGCAUUGUAAGUACCAGCAACUGGCCCCGGCAUGGCAUAGAGCAGAUCUGAAACACGUGCAUGCUCAGUGUAGGGAUCAAUGACUUCAUCAAGGUGGCCAGGGUCUGGACCACAGCUUCCAACCAGCUGCCAACUGCCUCCCACCUCACCUUCAACCUCAGACUGGACUUUUGGGGAUUGGUAAGUUCUGUUUCAUUUCUCUGGGUCUCCUCUGACUUGACAAAAGUUCUUUGCACACCCCAAUAUUUCCCAAUCAUGCUGAGAACCAAUGGAGGGUUCAUAGUUGACCAAGUUUAGCCUAAGCCAAGAUGAGGAUGGAAUAUGGCUAAGGCUGAAGUGCUGGUGGCAGAGAUUCCAGAAGAUAGAAACCAUCAUGGGAUGGAUGGAUGGAUGGAUGGAUGGAUGGAUGGAUGGAUAGAUGAAUGGAUAGAUGAAUGGAUGGAUGGAUGGUAUUCUUUGAGGCCUGUCUUAUCCAGUACCCCUGUUUCUUGCUUAUUGUUCACAUCUCAUUAAUUUAACAAGUUUAAAGGCUUCCUCGGGGACACAAGAACCAUAGAUCCCAUCUUAGGAAGUCUUAAAAGUUGUUAAAAGACCAAAGAAUCCAGAAGACUGAAUUUGAACCCACAGCAACCUAACUGUGGGUGACUUGGGUAGGUCACAUUCUGCCUCUUCUGAACCAAAUCAGUAAAUGACAGCAAUGCCCACCAGACGUGGAGCUGAAGCCUUCCUGCCCACUGUGGCUGAGUCAGGAGAGCCUGUGCCGUCUCACAACCCAUCCCCUCCACCUCCGAGGGCAUCUGCUGUGAGACUCAGCACCCAACUGAUCACACUGUUGCUCCCAGCACUGCACUGGGCAAGAGUGGAGACCUCACCUGUUCAGGUCACAGUUGCUCUUCCAAUCCCUGAUAGGAGAGACAUCCCAUAAUUUACUGUUGUGGUCAUUGUCACCGUCAUCCUUUUGUUUUGUUGGGAGACAGGGUCUCAGAUAUCCCUGGCUGACCUCAAGCUCAUUAUGAAGCAAAAGGCAUCCUCAGACUUCUGAUCCUUCAGUCUCCAGCUCCUGGGUGCUCAGAUCUCAGGCAUGUGCCAGCGUUCGUGUUCAGGCAUGAGAUUCGGAGAGAGCAUCAGAACCGGAGGCUAUGAGAGCUCGCUGAGCCAGCCGAAGCCUUAACAAGUAGGAGAGUCCAAAGGGAGGAGACUCAGAGAUCAAAGCCCGGAAGAUUUACGGGUGUCAGAAUGACAGGAGGAGGGCAUCCAGAAGGUUUUCAGCAAUCUGGCUGUUACCUUCAUUUCUCCACUAUUUAAUCAAUCAUUUACCCCCCUCUGGCACUGGCAGGCCCAGGAUCUUUUGGGAGAAACAGGGGACUCAGGAAAGCAUCAUCUGUGCAAGGGCACAGGUUAUGUAUGCAUACACACAUGCACACACAAUAGAUGAAUAAUUUUUAAAAUAAAAUAUGAACAGCAUUGUGAGGUUUCUGGGAGGAAUCAUGAGAGAACCUGUGUGUGGUACUUACCACAGUGCCCUCCCUGCCAAUUGAGCAUGCAGUAGGUACUCAAUAAAUGUCAGUCCCAGCCCCUUCCUCUUAUAGAUAGCUGUUCUUAAUCUUGGUCACGCAGCUUGUCCAAAAAGGAACCUUAAUCUAAAGUCUGCAUCUCCCCAAGAUGGAAGCCAUCAAUUAGCCUUCUAUUCAGAGCACAGGCUCAAGGCUAGACUCUCCAAACCCAACACAUUGCAUAAGCCUGCAAGCCAAAUACUAAUGGCCUGAAGAGGGAGGUACCCAGCCUAAUCUGUUCUGGCAGGAGUGACUGCCAGACACCCGGCUUCCACAGCAGCAGUGCCAGAGGUUCCGUCCGCGGUGGCAUGCAGUGGGACAUGCUAUCGAAUCCAUGCCUGCAGCUAGUGUCAAACAUAGACGUCCUCAGGACUGCAGCCUUCAGCCCUGUUCUCUGAAAACCCUUCCUGGCGGUUCUAGGACUCGCCUAAUGUCACUUAGUGACCUCGCUUCAGGGUGUGGUUCCUGCCCUUGCAAGAAAAAAACCCAAUGGGUACAGAAAUCUGGGAUGGGAAUGGCUGAUGAUGAAAGAGUCUUCAGGGCCUGGGCUCAGGUGUCUAGGUGACUAUGUUUCUCACAUCUCAAGCAGGCUCCCCAUUUUCCACACCAGCGUCCUCCACCCUAAUCUUUCCUACCAGCAGACAGCAGCUACUCUAAGAUUCCCAGGUAUCCUCGGUCAGUGUUUUGUUCUGUUUUGUUGUGUUGUGUUGUUGGUUUUUUGGUACCAUGCAGUUCUUCAAGAAAUCCUGACAAUGAGUUCUGCCUUUAGAUCAUGUUCAUAGCCUAACCAUCCCCAGCCAUCUCUGCUCUAAGCACCAAGGCACCAAGGACUCUCUCUGUCUCUCUCUCUCUGUCUCUAUCUAUCUAUCUAUCUAUCUAUCUAU